AAUUAAAUAACAUUUGUACCGUAGACAGUAGGUGCUUGUAAAAGCUUAAUUUCCUACCGAGGUAAUGCAUUUAUAAAUUAUAGUUUUCGUGACUAUUGCAUUAAACCUCCAUGUCUACUUUGGGAUAUGGAGGUUUUCAUAUUUCGGU
rfam:Bacillus sp. VT-16-70 Bacillus_obstructivus_contig171, whole genome shotgun sequence.